rnacentral:rRNA from 1 species
UACGUAGGGGGCAAGCGUUGUCCGGAUUUAUUGGGCGUAAAGAGCGUGUAGGCGGUUUGGUAGGUCCGCUGUGAAAACUCGAGGCUCAACCUCGAGACGCCGGUGGAAACCAUCAGGCUAGAGUCCGGAAGAGGAGAGUGGAAUUCCUGGUGUAGCGGUGAAAUGCGCAGAUAUCAGGAAGAACACCCGUGGCUAAGGCGGCUCUCUAGUACGGUACUGACGCUGAGACGCGAAAGCGUGGGAAGCGAACAGG